rnacentral:tRNA from 1 species
GCCCUCGGUGGCUCAGAUGGAUAGAGCGUCUGACAUGUAAACAGAAGAUCCCGGGUUCGAGUCCCGGUCGGGGCA